GUGGGCGAGUGGUGUAAGCCGUCGGUUUCAAUCCGUCACGACCCGGGAUCGAAUCCCGCGUUGGACA